rnacentral:rRNA from 1 species
AUACGUAGGUGGCGAGCGUUGUCCGGAAUUACUGGGUGUAAAGGGCGCGUAGGCGGGGAUGUAAGUCAGAUGUGAAAUACCAUGGCUCAACCGUGGGGCUGCAUCUGAAACUAUGUUUCUUGAGUGCUGGAGAGGAAAGCGGAAUUCCUAGUGUAGCGGUGAAAUGCGUAGAUAUUAGGAGGAACACCAGUGGCGAAGGCGGCUUUCUGGACAGUAACUGACGCUGAGGCGCGAAAGCGUGGGGAGCGAACAGGAUUAGAUACCCUGGUAGUCCACGCCGUAAACGAUGGAUACUAGGUGUAGGACGUAUCGACCCCUUCUGUGCCGGAGUAAACACAAUAAGUAUCCCACCUGGGGAGUACGGCCGCAAGGUUGAA